rnacentral:rRNA from 1 species
UACGUAGGUGGCAAGCGUUGUCCGGAUUUAUUGGGUUAAAGGGUGCGUAGGCGGUCUUUUAAGUCAGUGCUGAAAUACUCCAGCUUAACUGGAGGGGUGGCAUUGAUACUGGAAGACUUGAGUGCAGUCGAGGUAGGCGGAAUUGACGGUGUAGCGGUGAAAUGCGUAGAUAUCGAGAGGAACACCUGCGGCGAAGGCGGGUUGCUGGGCUGACACUGACGCUGACAGCGCGAAAGCUAGGGAGCGAACGGG